UAGGCAAUGACUGUGAUGCGAUGCUUAUGAAGAAGAAGAAUGUUGAACAAAGGCACAAGGGUUCUAAGAGCAAAAAGAAAAAUAUGGAACAAAACAGGGAGCAUCAGGUAAGGAGAACCAAGAAGGAAGGCGAGGAAAGGAUGAAGGAUUGUGGAGAAGAAGGGAGUAUCACGAAGCGAGGUCGAGGAAGGCCAAAGGGUUCAAAGAGUGAGAAGAAAACUGUGACUGCUAAUGA
rnacentral:misc_RNA from 1 species